rnacentral:rRNA from 1 species
UACGUAGGGGGCAAGCGUUGUCCGGAAUCAUUGGGCGUAAAGCGCGUGUAGGCGGCUCGGUAAGUCCGCUCUGAAAGUCCAGGGCUCAACCCUGGGAUGCGGGUGGAUACUGCCGGGCUCGAGUCCGGAAGAGGCGAGUGGAAUUCCUGGUGUAGCGGUGAAAUGCGCAGAUAUCAGGAGGAACACCAAUGGCGAAGGCAGCUCGCUGGGACGGUACUGACACUGAGACGCGAAAGCGUGGGGAGCAAACAGG